GGGGAGGGGGGACCAACACAUGCAAGUCGAACGGCAGCACAGAAGAGCUUGCUCUUUGGGUGGCGAGUGGCGGACGGGUGAGUAAUGUCUGGGAAACUGCCCGAUGGAGGGGGAUAACUACUGGAAACGGUAGCUAAUACCGCAUAACGUCGCAAGACCAAAGUGGGGGACCUUCGGGCCUCACACCAUCGGAUGUGCCCAGAUGGGAUUAGCUAGUAGGUGGGGUAAUGGCUCACCUAGGCGACGAUCCCUAGCUGGUCUGAGAGGAUGACCAGCCACACUGGAACUGAGACACGGUCCAGACUCCUACGGGAGGCAGCAGUGGGGAAUAUUGCACAAUGGGCGCAAGCCUGAUGCAGCCAUGCCGCGUGUAUGAAGAAGGCCUUCGGGUUGUAAAGUACUUUCAGCGGGGAGGAAGGCGGUGAGGUUAAUAACCUCGCCGAUUGACGUUACCCGCAGAAGAAGCACCGGCUAACUCCGUGCCAGCAGCCGCGGUAAUACGGAGGGUGCAAGCGUUAAUCGGAAUUACUGGGCGUAAAGCGCACGCAGGCGGUCUGUUAAGUCAGAUGUGAAAUCCCCGGGCUUAACCUGGGAACUGCAUUUGAAACUGGCAGGCUUGAGUCUCGUAGAGGGGGGUAGAAUUCCAGGUGUAGCGGUGAAAUGCGUAGAGAUCUGGAGGAAUACCGGUGGCGAAGGCGGCCCCCUGGACGAAGACUGACGCUCAGGUGCGAAAGCGUGGGGAGCAAACAGGAUUAGAACCCGGGGG
rnacentral:rRNA from 1 species